UACGGAGGAUGCAAGCGUUAUCCGGAAUGAUUGGGCGUACAGCGUCCGCAGGUGGCUAUGUAAGUCUGCUGUUAAAGAGUGAGGCUCAACCUCAUAAGAGCAGUGGAAACUACAUAGCUAGAGUGCGUUCGGGGCAGAGGGAAUUCCUGGUGUAGCGGUGAAAUGCGUAGAUAUCAGGAAGAACACCGGUGGCGAAAGCGCUCUGCUAGGCCGCAACUGACACUGAGGGACGAAAGCUAGGGGAGCGAAUGGG
rnacentral:rRNA from 1 species